rnacentral:lncRNA from 1 species
UGAUUUCAUGCCAGGAUGAAACAAUGAAACCUGAGCAUUCAAGCAGCCUGAACAGUUCAAUUUUGGAAGUGAUUAACUGCUAAUUUUUAAUAAUGAAAGUUUUCUUUAAUAUGGAGAGAGAUAAGUGGGAGCACCAGUAAUCAUGGAGAUGUUUGUAGGACAGGAAAGAUCAUAUGUGUUUGAGUGCAAACGGCUGCAGAGCCAUAUUGAUAUGGAUGGCCAGCCUUGUUGAUGUAUUUGAGCCAUGUUCCUGUUCAUAAUCAUUCCCUCAGAGUGCAAAAUGCGGAAGACACAGGCAGGUAGCGAGUGACAAGCAUGGAAUACUGAAGGCAGUGAUUUGAUUGAAUUUAAUUUUGAAAUUGAUUGAAAUUCAUUUGCAUAUGAAAUAUGUUUUGCAAUUUGUU